rnacentral:rRNA from 1 species
AUUGAACGCUGGCGGCAUGCCUUACACAUGCAAGUCGAACGGUAACAGGUCUUCGGAUGCUGACGAGUGGCGAACGGGUGAAUAAUACAUCGGAACGUGCCCGAUCGUGGGGGAUAACGGAGCGAAAGCUUUGCUAAUACCGCAUACGAUCUACGGAUGAAAGCAGGGGACCGCAAGGCCUUGCGCGGACGGAGCGGCCGAUGGCAGAUUAGGUAGUUGGUGGGAUAAAAGCUUACCAAGCCGACGAUCUGUAGCUGGUCUGAGAGGACGACCAGCCACACUGGGACUGAGACACGGCCCAGACUCCUACGGGAGGCAGCAGUGGGGAAUUUUGGACAAUGGGCGAAAGCCUGAUCCAGCCAUACCGCGUGCAGGAUGAAGGCCUUCGGGUUGUAAACUGCUUUUGUACGGAACGAAAAGACUCCUUCUAAUAAAGGGGGUCCAUGACGGUACCGUAAGAAUAAGCACCGGCUAACUACGUG